rnacentral:rRNA from 1 species
AGUGAACGCUGGCGGUAGGCCUAACACAUGCAAGUCGAACGGCAGCACAGUAAGAGCUUGCUCUUACGGGUGGCGAGUGGCGGACGGGCGAGGAAUACAUCGGAAUCUACUUUUUCGUGGGGGAUAACGUAGGGAAACUUACGCUAAUACCGCAUACGACCUACGGGUGAAAGCAGGGGAUCUUCGGACCUUGCGCGAUUGAAUGAGCCGAUGUCGGAUUAGCUAGUUGGCGGGGUAAAGGCCCACCAAGGCGACGAUCCGUAGCUGGUCUGAGAGGAUGAUCAGCCACACUGGAACUGAGACACGGUCCAGACUCCUACGGGAGGCAGCAGUGGGGAAUAUUGGACAAUGGGCGCAAGCCUGAUCCAGCCAUACCGCGUGGGUGAAGAGGGCCUUCGGGUUGUAAAGCCCUUUUGUUGGGAAAGAAAAGCAGCAGGUUAAUACCCCGCUGUUCUGACGGUACCCAAAGAAUAAGCACCGGCUAACUUCGUG